UCUUCUAAGACGCACAGGGUGGGUCUUACAAGACCCAUUUUACAGAUGAGGAAAAUAAAGCACAGAGCAGUUAACUAACCUUUCUGGGGUCACACAGCAAGUCAGCUGCAGAACCAUAAAGGAAUCUCGGGCCUCCUAGGCUUCUCCUUUUCCCCAUGACCCACACCGGUCGGUAUCUUGCCAGGGGAAAAGUCCCCAACGUUCUAGGCUGGGUGGAAGGAGGGAUUUGGGGGCAGCUGUCACUGGGGCCCCAGGCCGCCCUCUCUCCUCUAACCUGGCUCUGAGUCCCAUCCCCCCUUGCAGGAUGUGGACGCCCACCAUCCCAUUCAGUGUCCAGGAACACCUGCAACAACAGGAUUCACGGAUCAGCCUGAGAUGAUCCCAGCUGUGCUCUGGACAGGCAUGUUCUCUGAGGACACUAACCACGCUGGACCUUGAACUGGGUACUUGUGGACACAGCUCUUCUCCAGGCUGUAUCCCAUGAGCCUCAGCAUCCUGGCACCCGGCCCCUGCUGG
rnacentral:lncRNA from 10 species